AACAAUAUAAUACACAAAAAAAAAUUCAUGUUUCAUCUUCUACUUCGCAUUUUCAAUUCAAACUACCUCAAAACUCCGCCAAAUCAUCCCAAAAUUGAGAUUCAAACUUUCUUAAGAUGUACUCAAUCCAUUCAAAAGAAAGCAAAACUUUAACCUUCUUUUGUUACAAAUAGCUAAUUGGCUAAUAUUGGUAAUAUUAGUAAUAUUUAAUGAAUCGGCCAAUUGUUGUAAUUAGCUACUUAUAAAUGGACAUAAUUGAUAGUUUCCUUUAAAAAAAAAACAAAUGAUCCAUAUCUCUACCUUUUAAAUGGAUAAGUAAUACUUACUACAAAACUAAAGAAAACUUUAAAAAAAAAACUAGCACCGAGCAAAACACAAUAAUAUUAAUUUUAGGCUAAUAAAUUAAAAUACAUGGAUAGAUCUCCUUUUACUUAACAAAUUGUUACUCCCCAAACUAAACCACCCAACUCAUCUGCUAAAAGAGAAAAUGCAUAUUCACUUACUAAGAUUAUAGACUUGACUAAUUAGUUCACUCCAACACUCAAAAGUCGAACUUAAUGAACUAUGCUAAAAUCUAUUAACCUUCAAACACCUCUUUUUAUAUCGUGCUUACUCUAACUAAUUUAACUUGAACAUUGGUCAAUUUUCGUUUAGCUCUAGUAUCCGAACAGUGAUGGCAUGAGCCUCCCAGAAACACCUAACAGUAGUACAUGCUUAUAAACACCUCCUCUUUCGAGAAUUAGACAAAGAAAUCAUGUCAAAGCAAUAAUGGCUAGUAUAUGAUCUUUUCCGUGACUAAACGAGAUUAACAGAGUGCUUCGACUAACAUUUAAGGAAGAAUAAAAACUUCAAGCUAUCAGUUACAUAUUCACAUACUUGAGCCAUACAUAAAAACGUUAAAGCACUUAAACAAACUCAUAAAAUGAAAUCAAGUGCAUCCCAGCAAUCUAAACAGAUUCAAAUCUUCAGUUAUUGCUAAACAAAAUCUGCAUUACAAGUUUUUAAGAGUUACCUAUAUUGUAGAAAAUCGCAAAUACAGCAAUAAGAACUGAAGGUCAGCAAAAUGAACUGUGUAAAAGGCCUACAAACAGUAACUGACCAGCAGCUUAUGAUCCAAAACUUAACCCAGAAAUUUCAGCAAAAUAAGCAAGGAAAGAACUAGUGAACUGACUUAAGAACCUUUCUUUUGGACAGUUGUUGUUCUCCGAAUACUCACUCAAAAGCCCUCAAAUUUCAGCUUAGUUUUCUUAUGUUCAACUGAUCUUUUUCUCUCUUCUAAGUUGUGUUUUUGCUUAGAGUGUGAGAUGUCUAAGUGUAGAAUGUCUUCCAGUGUGAUGGAGAGUGUCUAAUUGAGUGAGAGGAGACCCCUUUAAGUAGGAAAAACAAGCACCUUUGGACAGAUUUUGGUUGAGCAAAAAUCUAUCCAAAAGACUUACUUUUCACCAAAAAACUGUCCAAGGACUGUCCAAAUAGGAGAAAGGACAAUCUUUUACACUAAAUUCAGACACAAAAGGAGUAGUUGUACUCUUAGCAUGAUUGAAAUAGUAGAAAGAAACUACUAUGUACCUAACUGAUUAAUCCUCUAUCACCCUUCCCUCAUUCUUUCUGCUCAAUUCAAAAUCAUAUAGCCAAACAACUAAAAGACUAUACUUUACCAAUUUGAACAUAUAAGAGCCACAAAAAGACUAACAUGAUUUGCAAAAUACUUAACUAAAUCAGUCAACGAACUAUACUAAAUAGCUAACUUAAGAGAAACAAGUGCUAAUUACAUCAACUAGUUCGAAUUGAUUUAUCACGAUCAAGCAUAUAAUCAAACUACGCUACUAGUUGCAAGCUAACAGAGGUGAGCGGAAAGUACAAUAAAUGAUACAAUUAAAGCUAGAUUACGUUGUUUGAACAAAUUAACACACGAUUAAACUAAAAGCAAAAAUCAUAAACGAAUAAGAACCAAACCAAAAGAAAACGAGACACCACUUCAAUUCUACGCUAAAACUAAAAUACAAAGCAAGAACAGAAGAUAAGAUAAAAAAUAAUUUUUUUAAAAAAAAGGAAAAGGGAAUAGGGAAUACCAUAAGCUCGGUUCUGCAACGAGGCAGCCGACUCGAGCACAUUUUUCUUUGAGAUAAAAUGCCACUGUAAUUUCCUUGGCAGGCGGCCAUUGAAACUAGCAUUUUUAUCUUGAAGAAAAACGUGCCUAGGUCUAGAAGAUGGCUUCGGACAGUCGGGUCAUCUGGUAGUGAAGGUGGUGGGACGGUAGUGGUGGUCGCCGGAGUCCGACGGUAGUGGAUGGACUUUCAGGAUGAAACUAAGGGUAAAGGGUAGACCUCAAAGAGACCUACCCGUUUAUGCUUGUAUCGUAGGGUAAAGAUGGUUCAACCUUGAUGAAACUCAAAAAUAGAAGAAGGCUAGGGCUUCGGAUUUGGGUAGAUCUAUGGAGAUUUGGAGGAUAUGAGGCUUGGAUUCAUGGAGAGGAGGUUGAGAGGAAGAAGUGGUAAAAAUAUAGGGUGGUUUGUACCAACACCGGCAGCGGCUCACGGUGGUGGCAGUGGCUGAGGGAUGGCGGAGCGGCGGCGGCUCAAAGAGUGAGGAGAGAGGAGAAAGGGAGAGUAAAAGGGGAAAUGGGGGUAAAAUUGCAGGGUUUUGGGGGCUUAAAUACCGGAGUGGAGGAUUGAUUUCUAGACAUA
rnacentral:lncRNA from 1 species